rnacentral:tRNA from 1 species
AGGGGGCUAGUUUAACGGCUAAAAUAUCUGCUUUACACUCAGAUGACUCGGGGUUCGAUUCCUCGGCUCCCUA